rnacentral:rRNA from 1 species
UACAGAGGUCUCAAGCGUUGUUCGGAUUCAUUGGGCGUAAAGGGUGCGUAGGUGGCGCUGUAAGUCGGGUGUGAAAUUUCGGAGCUUAACUCCGAAACUGCAUUCGAUACUGCGGUGCUUGAGGACUGAGAGGAGACGUGUGAAUUCAUGGUGUAGCAGUGAAAUGCGUAGAGAUCAUGAGGAAGACCAGUGGCGAAAGGCGGGUCUCUGGACGA